UGAUUACGUCAGUCAAGGGUAUGCUUUUGUCUUUGUGUUAUAAAAUGGAUGAAUUUCGUCUUUCUGGAAAAGAUUUGAUUUACGUGAUUGGGUGCAGACCAAACUCGAACAUAACAACCCUGUGAGGUAAUAAUAUUAUGACCUCCAUUUUACAUUACCUCAGAAGCAACUCAAGCAAAGAGAAACUGAGUUGCUUAUCCAAGGUCAUACAGCAGCAAUAUAGAGCCACAAGCUGAAACCAGACAGGACGAAGGCAUCUUUAGCAGACAGACUCCAUGUGUCCAGAGCCAGGUAGACUUGCCAAUUCCAACAGAAAGCCGUCCUACUUUUUGGGAAAACAAUGGCUGAAGAACAACUAACUUCACAUUCAAAGAAGAUACCGAGCUAACUGAAUUUCUUGCAGGUAAGAGUCAAGGUUGCAUUAGGCAUUUUAAUACAUUUAACUUCAUAAACAAGGACACAGGAAUCACAGAGAGUUAACUCACUCAUGGUAAGACAUAUAUUAAUUGGCAAAUUGCCUCUGGCUUUGGCACCAUCUCAGUGUGGAGAUUAAUGUGGUGGCCAUGAAGAUGCACCUUACAGCCCUCCAAAUACAGGAAGAAUAACGUCCAAGGGCCUGAAUGCUGUACCCUGAAAUCUGUACCCUGCUUUGCUUGCAUUCAGGCCAUACCUCCUGUGAGCUGCUCCAGCCAAGACUGAGUGUGGCUAGAAUACAUAAGGUAAAACCAUUCCUAAAAACUGCGGGACUCAGCUGACCACUGACCCGGGCUGACUCAAGGACUCCUCAAUGGCCUCGUGAAUCUUCCCUGGAUGGCACAGGAGUCUAGGCCACUUCACCCAACUUUCUCUUGCUCUUCUUUUCAUUCAGUCAGACUUGCUUCCUGGUCAAAAGUUUCUUCCAUCUUUUUUCUGGGCCCCUCCCCAUUUCACUCACAGUCAUUUCCCCUAGUAAUAACUUUGCACAUUUAAUCCCAGCUUGACUUCUGCUCUUCAGAGGACCCAGAUUAACACAUUUAACAGAUCAUUUAAACGUCUUAGUUUCAAUUUUUGUAUUUUGCACAUUGGGAGUUGGGGGAGAAGGCAUCCUUUAGAGAAGAGCUAAAAGGAGAAAGACUUAUUCAGUGUCUACCAUGUGCUUUAUGUUACUUCACAUAAUUAUCACAUCAACUUUCAUAUGACAGGUAGUACUGCUAUUUUACAGAAAAGGAAGGGGAAGAUGAGAGAAAUGAUAUCACUAGUUUAAGAUUACUGCAGCGUCUAGAUUUGUACUGAAGCCUAUUCUGACUUCAAGGUGUAUCUUCUCUACCACUUUCUCUCCUUUUCUAACUGCUUAAUUGUGAAGAUCAAAAAAGAUAACAGAUGUGAAAGCACUUUGAAAAUGUAAAGAUGUGUUACUUCAAAGCCAGAGAUUAUUAUUAUUUCUGUUGGUUGCGGUCAAGACCACUAUGUCAUAUGCAAGCCUGGUGCAAAGUACAAAUGUGGGGCUCCUUGUUCAAAAUUUAUUGAGACUUUGAAGAUGGCACAGCAGAGCAUUACACCAGGUAUGGGACCCAUGAACCCAGCCAUGGGAACAGCAGAAUUAUUGAGACAGGGGCAAUCAAAUUGUGCUUGUAGGAAACUUUCUAGAAGAAUAGAAAAAACAUUCUGGGGUGCCUGGGUGGCUCAGUUGGUUGAGCAGCCAACUUUGGCUCAGCUUCAUGAUCUCAUGGUUC